rnacentral:rRNA from 1 species
UAAGCAGGCAGUGAAAGGUCCCGGCUCAACCGGGGAUACAUUGUCUGAACUGCUAAGCUAGAGCAUGAGAGAGGUAACUGGAAUUCCUAGUGUAGGAGUGAAAUCCGUAGAUAUUAGGAGGAACACCGAUGGCGUAGGCAGGUUACUGGCUCAUUGCUGACACUAAGGCACGAAAGCGUGGGAGCGAACGGGAUUAGAUACCCCGGUAGUCCACGCCGUAAACUAUGGAUGCUA